UCACAUCCUGGAGCUGAAGCAGGUUCCAAGGGUUAGGUUGUUCGCCUAUUAAAGUGGCACUUGAGCUGGGUUCAGAACGCCGUGAGGCAGUUUGGUCCCUAUCUACUGUGAGCGUUAGAAAAUUGAAGAAAUUAAACCCUAGUACGAGAGGACCGGGAAACGUAAACCUCUGGUGUAGCGAUUGUUUUUAAAAAAGCAUCGUCGCGUAGCUACGUUUAUACUAGAUAAUCGCUGAAAGCAUCUAAGUGAGA
rnacentral:rRNA from 1 species